GUUUCGGCGGCCAUAGCGAGAGGGAAACGCCCGGUCACAUUCCGAACCCGGAAGCUAAGACUCUCUGCGCCGAUGGUACUGCAGGGGGGACCCUGUGGGAGAGUAGGACACCGCCGGACUU
rnacentral:rRNA from 1 species